UACGAGGGGUGCAAGCGUUGCUCGGAAUUAUUGGGCGUAAAGGGUAGGUAGGUGGUCUCAUUUGUCUGGGGUGAAAGCCUUGAGCUUAACUCAAGAAGUGCCCCAGAAACGGUGAGACUGGAGUCCUGGAGAGGGUCGUGGAAUUCCCGGUGUAGCGGUGAAAUGCGUAGAGAUCGGGAGGAACACCGGUGGCGAAGGCGGGUCUCUGGGCCGUAACUGACGCUGAGGAGCGAAAGCGUGGGGAGCGAACAGG
rnacentral:rRNA from 1 species